UACGUAGGUCGCAAGCGUUGUCCGGAUUUACUGGGCGUAAAGAGCGCGCAGGCGGCUGGUCAAGUCCGAUGUGAAAUCUCCCGGCUCAACUGGGAAACUGCAUCGGAAACUGAUCGGCUUGAAGAUGGGAGAGGGUAGUGGAAUUCCCGGUGUAGUGGUGAAAUGCGUAGAUAUCGGAAGGAACACCAGUGGCGAAGGCGACUACCUGGCCCAUUCUUGACGCUGAGGCGCGAAAGCUAGGGGAGCGAACGGG
rnacentral:rRNA from 1 species